rnacentral:rRNA from 1 species
UACGUAGGGUGCAAGCGUUAUCCGGAAUUAUUGGGCGUAAAGAGCUCGUAGGCGGUUUGUCGCGUCUGCUGUGAAAACUGGAGGCUCAACCUCCAGCCUGCAGUGGGUACGGGCAGACUAGAGUGCGGUAGGGGAGAUUGGAAUUCCUGGUGUAGCGGUGGAAUGCGCAGAUAUCAGGAGGAACACCGGUGGCGAAAGCGGCUCACUGGACCGAAUCUGACACUGAGGUGCGAAAGCUAGGGUAGCAAACGGG